rnacentral:tRNA from 1 species
GCCUGGGUGGCUCAGUCGGUUGAGCGUCCGACUUAGUCUAAGGUCAUAAUCUCAUGGUUCGUGAGUUCGAGCCCCACUUCGGGCU